UUAUAUGAUAAAGUGUUCUACUGUCCGUUUGUCACAGCAAGAGGUCCAUGGUGCCUGUAUUUCUCACCUGUUCCUAUCUGAAUAAAUAAAGCCACAUCACAUGAUUUUGUAGGUCCUGAUGUUGUGUGCUGGUCAACAGAUCUUUUUCCCAAGGAUCCUGGAUCUGGGAAGUCCUGUGGGUGGCACCAGGACUCCACAUACAUAGGUAUGGACCCUCCUGAUGCCCUGACAGUGUGGGUCGCCUUAACAGAUUCCAACAUAGAUAACGGCUGUGUGGAAUUCUCCUCAAAAAGUCAUCUAAAAGGCCAGCUUGACCACACAAAUACGAUGUCAGACAAAUCCAUGCUGUUGUAUGGCCAAGAAAUUCCUGUGGAAGUAGAGAAAUCUAC